rnacentral:rRNA from 1 species
UACGUAGGGUGCGAGCGUUAAUCGGAAUUACUGGGCGUAAAGCGUGCGCAGGCGGCGCGUUAAGACAGGUGUGAAAGCCCCGAGCUUAACUUGGGAAUUGCGCUUGUGACUGGCGAGCUGGAGUGUGGCAGAGGGAGGUGGAAUUCCGACGUGUAGCAGUGAAAUGCGUAGAGAUGUGGAGGAACACCGAUGGCGAAGGCAGCCUCCUGGGCCAGCACUGACGCUCAUGCACGAAAGCGUGGGGAGCAACAGG